rnacentral:rRNA from 1 species
GACGAACGCUGGCGGCGUGCUUAACACAUGCAAGUGGAGCGACGAACCAGGCUUCGGCCUGGGGCAAAGCCGCGAACGGGUGAGUAACACGUGGGUAACCUGCCCCGAUGACCGGGACAACCCGAGGAAACUCGGGCUAAUACCGGAUGUGCUGUCCUCGCAUCAGUGAGGAUUGGAAAGGGAGCUUCGGCCUCCGCAUCGGGAUGGGCCCGCGGCCCAUUAGCUUGUUGGUGAGGUAACGGCUCACCAAGGCUGCGAUGGGUAGCUGGUCUGAGAGGACGAUCAGCCACACUGGGACUGAGACACGGCCCAGACUCCUACGGGAGGCAGCAGUGGGGAAUCUUGCGCAAUGCGCGAAAGCGUGACGCAGCAACGCCGCGUGGGGGAAGAAGGCCUUCGGGUCGUAAACCCCUUUCAGCAGGGACGAAGCGCAAGUGACGGUACCUGCAGAAGAAGCACCGGCCAACUACGUGCCAGCAGCCGCCGUAACAC